GACAGAGGGUGCAAACGUUGUUCGGAAUUACUGGGCGUAAAGCGCGUGUAGGCUGCUUAGAAAGUCGGAUGUGAAAGCCCUGGGCUCAACCUAGGAAGUGCAUUCGAAACUUCUGAGCUAGAGUGCUGGAGAGGAAGGCGGAAUUCUCGGUGUAGAGGUGAAAUUCGUAGAUAUCGAGAGGAACACCGGUGGCGAAGGCGGCCUUCUGGACAGUAACUGACGCUGAGACGCGAAAGCGUGGGGAGCAAACAGG
rnacentral:rRNA from 1 species